UACAGAGGGUGCGAGCGUUGUUCGGAAUUAUUGGGCGUAAAGGGCGCGUAGGCGGCGCCACAAGUCACCUGUGAAAACUCGGGGCUCAACCCCGAGCCUGCAGUCAAUACGGGCAGACUAGAGUGCUGUAGGGGAGACUGGAAUUCCUGGUGUAGCGGUGAAAUGCGCAGAUAUCAGGAGGAACACCGGCGGCGAAGGCGGGUCUCUGGGCAGUAACUGACGCUGAGGAGCGAAAGCGUGGGGAGCGAACAGG
rnacentral:rRNA from 1 species